UACGUAGGGUGCGAGCGUUAAUCGGAAUUACUGGGCGUAAAGCGUGCGCAGGCGGUUCGCUAAGACAGAUGUGAAAUCCCCGGGCUUAACCUGGGAACUGCGCUUGUUACUGGCAGGCUUGAGUGUGGCAGAGGGGGGGUGGAAUUCCACGUGUAGCAGUGAAAUGCGUAGAGAUGUGGAGGAACACCGAUGGCGAAGGCAGCCCCCUGGGCUAACACUGACGCUCAUGCACGAAAGCGUGGGGAGCAAACAGG
rnacentral:rRNA from 1 species